GGAAGUGGUAGCUCGGUGGUUAUGACGUUGGCCUUCUGCUCGGAAGGCCAUGAGUUCAAAUCUCAGCACUGCCA